UCCAGGGUAGCCUAGUGGACAUGGCAUCUGCCCAGUAAGCAGAACACUGUGGGUUUGUUUCCCAUCCCUGGAC
rnacentral:tRNA from 1 species